UUACAAGGCGAAACCGCGAAUGGCUCAUUAAAUCAGUUAUGGUUCACUAGAUCGUACAGUUUACAUGGAUAACUGUGGUAAUUCUAGAGCUAAUACAUGCACCCAGUCCGUUCCCUCGUGGAGCGGAUGCAGUUAUUUGCCCAAAACCAAUCCGGCCUUCGGGUCGGUCAAUUGGUGACUCUGAAUAACCGAAGCGGAGCGCAUGGUCUCGUACCGGCGCCAGAUCUUUCAAGUGUCUGACUUAUCAGCUUGUUGUUAGGUUAUGUUCCUAACAAGGCAUCAACGGGUAACGGAGUGUCAGGGCCCGACACCGGAGAGGGAGCCUGAGAAACGGCUACCACAUCCAAGGAAGGCAGCAGGCGCGCAAAUUACCCACUCCCGGCACGGGGAGGUAGUGACGAAAAAUAACGAUGCGAGAGCUUUAUGCUCCUCGUAAUCGGAAUGGGUACACUUUAAAUCCUUUAACGAGGAUCUAUUGGAGGGCAAGUCUGGUGCCAGCAGCCGCGGUAAUUCCAGCUCCAAUAGCGUAUAUUAAAGUUGCUGCGGUUAAAAAGCUCGUAGUUGGAUCUGGGUAGUCGAUGGACGGUGCGCUUUACGGCGUCUACUGUUCGUUCGGCACCACAUGCCGGCCAUGUCUUGCAUGCUCUUCACUGAGUGUGCUUGGCGACCGGAACGUUUACUUUGAAAAAAUUAGAGUGCUCAAAGCAGGCGUUAAGCCUUGCAUAAUGGUGCAUGGAAUAAUAGAAUAGGACCUCGGUUCUAUUUUGUUGGUUUUCGGAACUCGAGGUAAUGAUUAAUAGGAACAGACGGGGGCAUU
rnacentral:rRNA from 1 species